rnacentral:rRNA from 1 species
UACAGAGGUCUCAAGCGUUGUUCGGAUUCAUUGGGCGUAAAGGGUGCGUAGGCGGCGCGGUAAGUCGGGUGUGAAAUCUCGGAGCUUAACUCCGAAACUGCAUUUGAUACUGCCUUGCUUGAGGACUGGAGAGGAGACUGGAAUUCACGGUGUAGCAGUGAAAUGCGUAGAGAUCGUGAGGAAGACCAGUGGCGAAGGCGGGUCUCUGGACAGUUCCUGACACUGAGGCACGAAGGCCAGGGGAGCAAACGGG